GUGUGCACAUACAUUUAUCAUCAAAAUGUGAUAACUUUGACUAAAUUCAGUUCCUAAACAUUUUUUAAUGUUGUAAUUUAUUACCGCAGUGUGUGGAGAGUUUACUUUUCACCGCGGUUACCAGAAUUCCUUUUAGUUUGUGUAACAGGCUGUGAUGUAGGCCUACAGGAGAAGAAAAAACAUUUAUCUUAAACGUUUGGUUUAGGUAUAAUUUGUUAAAUGUUUGAUGUUGUACAGUAAGUGUCUACCGGUUUGACGUUUGAAGUUCGAUAUUCGCAAAUUUAGAGAUCGUCUCCAAAGUAACGACAUUGGUUUACAACAGGCGAUCGACUGUCCCGCAAAGUUGGGCUCCAAACUUAAUCAAACACACCUGUCUUUAAUUUUUAAGUGAGCUUGAAGACCUUAAUUAGUUGCUUCAGGUGUGUUUGAUUAGGAUUGGAGCUAAACUUUGCAGGAGAGUCGAUCGUCGGGAGCAGGUUUGGGCACCCCUGGUUUACAAGAUGUGAAGUGGGAAGCUAUUAUGGGACAUUUGAAAGGCCCCAUUCAAGCAAUAAGUGCCCUACAGAAUCCAAGGAAACCAAACAAAUCACCUGGAAAAAACUCUUACACAAGUCCACCCAAGAAGGGAAGUGGUUACAGACUGGAGGCAUGAAAGCAGGAACAUUUGGUUGCUACCCCACCUACUUUGCAGAACCCCAUGGUACCAAAAAGACCAAUUCAGCAAUGACGAAUAAGGAAGUCAAAAUAUUUCACCUCUCCCCUGGUCUAAAGAGCACACCUGUCAAGAUCAUCAUCAGUCUCAACAUCAAAAAGUAAGCUGGGCUCCAGGAACUAGCACCAAAACUCAUAUUACACUCCAAACAGUGCUUAAUGUUUGCACAAUAAUCAGUAAUAUCAGUUGCUCAAUAUGUUCUACAGGCAAAGACACUGCAGGUUCACAGUAAUGUGACUUUCUUUAUUUUACAGGGCUGUGAGUUCCACAAACUAUAAUCGAAUCCCCUCUGUGAUGGCAUAUUGAGAACUUGUGAUGUCUUCAGGUGAAUAAAUGAAUGUUAUAUAUUGGUUUUUAGAUCAAAGAGUUGAUAUUUUUAAUUGAAUUUAUAUAAUUAUCUUAAUUGAUAAAGAUAAACUCUUUUAAGAUAUAUUAUACUUAAUACUACACCAGAAAAAAAAUUAAAACAACACCUUUGUCUAAAACCAGUUUUUAGUUAAGCAUUAAAAAUACAUAUUGUGUUUAACCAGCAAGGUGUAGGCCAAAUUUUUACCGCAUUUAUGUCAUUCUCUUUUUUGUUAUGGUUAAAACCUUUUAUAUAACUGUUUGUAAAAGUGGCCUUAAAGGGAUAGUUGAGCAUAUGACAACAGAGUUUUCUAUUUAGUUUGAACUAUGACUUUAGGUUCAUUUAGAAACAUGAGAAUUGAAAAAAA